CCGGCGACCUGUAGCCGCUGUCGCGUAACUCAAAAGACCGAGGAGAUUCGAAGCCAGCGCCUCCCCCUUGUAUAUCAAAACCCCGAUUAGGAUACACAUUCUGGAAACGAGAGGCAGCUGAGAUUCUUUCCGUUGAUAAUCUGUUGUAAAGAUACAAAAUCAGUUCAAGAUUAACCAUUGAUAUUUUGAGUUUUUACAUGUCUAGAUUUUACUAAGAAAUGGUUCACCCGAUGUCAGGACAUGCUUAAGCAACACCUUUUCAGUAUGGAAGAGUCAUAUCCUUUGCAAAUAAUUGGUCUCUGUACAUGUCAGAGACGUUUUACUCAAGAUUAACUUGAUGCCCAGAAGAUUCUGCACCAGGGUUGGAGAAGGAGGAGAAGAUUUCUACAAAAUCAAACAUGCGCCUUCUCUUAUUAUCACAAAUUUUAGAGGAUGAAGCAGAAUUAGAGGAAGUUGCAGGUGCGGCUCAAAUAGUUUCGGAUCAAGGUGGUGACUCUCAUCAAGAUUCAACUGCGGACGGUUUAUGUAUUUUCCCUGAAGAACCAAAAUUUGGUGUCAAGAGUCAAGACAAUCAAAAAUUAUAUCAAACUCUUGGCUCCGGAUACGGACAAAACCAUCGUGGUUGUUCCACAAAAUCUCACUUCUUUCGCGAAGUGCCUCAUAAGUGAGAUGAGAUCACCUGAAAUUACUUGGAGAUUUUCCGGGUGAAGUUUUGAACUGCUUAGUUUAUUGUUUGAAUUGACUGUUCUUAAAUGUGAUUAUCCUCUUUUAACCCCAGUAUCAGAAACAUGCAGACAAUAAGUAGACAAUGCUAUAGUGAAUAGCCUGCUUUGUUUAUUUGUCUUCCAUGACAAUUGAUGUGAUCAAUUGCUUAGUAUUAACUGUAGUAUUGCAGUUCUGAUGAGAAGGUUUCAUGCUAAAUUAGAUAUAUAUACAAAUGUGAUGCGUUAUGGGUAGAUUCUAUUUAGAGAGGCCCAACCAGCAAUAUUUGUAUCUGAACUUGA